rnacentral:rRNA from 1 species
AUAUUGGGCAAUGGAGGGAACUCUGACCCAGCAACGCCGCGUGAGUGAAGAAGGUUUUCGGAUUGUAAAACUCUUUAAGCGGGGACGAAGAAAGUGACUGUACCCGCAGAAUAAGCAUCGGCUAACUACGUGCCAGCAGCCGCGGUAAUACGUAGGUGGCGAGCGUUAUCCGGAAUUAUUGGGCGUAAAGAGGGAGCAGGCGGUCGUGAAGGUCCACUGGUAAAAGACCGGGGCUAAACCCCGGUAGGCCGAGGAAACCGUACGACUAGAGUACAGCAGAGGAUCGUGGAAUUCCAUGUGUAGCGGUGAAAUGCGUAGAUAUAUGGAGGAACACCAGUGGCGAAGGCGACGAUCUGGGCUGAAACAGACGCUGAGUCCCGAAAGCGUGGGGAGCAAA